UUUAAUAUGUUAACGGGUUUAGGAUUAAUUGACAAUAUUAACACGGUUUCUAUUUUACGCGCAUGGAUAAAAUAACUACGCGAAAAGCCGCGUGCAUUGGCUGUGACGUAGCACGUGAACAGCCAGCCAGUAAACAAUAUGUGAAACCAUGUGCUUUUUGAUAGAUUUGUUUACAUUAGCGCUUUGAUCAAUGGCUUACCAACCGUUUAUGUUUGAGCCCGAACGUUCCGAACAUGAUAGUGAGUCGGACUUCGACAUAGGAUUAUCUUCAGGCGAUGAAUUGGAAGAAAAUGUCGAAAAUAUUGCGCGAUUGGGAAACCGAGAUUGGUGUUGUGUGUGGCAACUGCAGACCAAUGGACACGGUAAAAGAAAGUAUCUGUUGUUUAGAAGUAGACCAAAUCGGCGACAAAAUGCAAACCACCAACUUGCAGUGCAUUCUAGAACAUUAUGAUUUCCCGAUUAUAUGUUUGUAUCCAGAAGUGCUCAGGACAGCCCUCGUAGCCAGAGCCGACAUACGACGCGAUGACUACACAGAACCAGUACCAAAUAGGCUGUGGCGAGAUCGUCAGGAUUUUCUCAGUGUAGCAUUUUUAUGUUGGUGAAGUUGUCACACGUUACUACGCAACUAUUUGUCAUAAGUGCACACUUUGAUGUUCAAUUUGGUAUAAUAAAUAUAUGAACAAGA